GCAUCUGUCAGAGCAGGGAUUAUUAAGGAAGUGGAAAGCAUUGUGGAGCAAGCCCUGAAACUGUACAGCGCUGACAGGGUUGGAUUGAUGGACUGGACGCACU